rnacentral:rRNA from 1 species
GACGAACGCUGGCGGCGUGCUUAAUACAUGCAGGGUCAACUGAGCUUAAAAUAGCAAUAUUUUAAGUGCGGUGGCGCACGGGUGAGUAACACGUAGGUAAUCUGCCUUUAGGUCUGACAUAAUCCCGCGAAAGCGGGACUAAAAUCAGAUGAUGCAGCGGCUCGACAUCGAGACAGUUGUUAAACCUUCGGGCCUAAAGAUGAGCCUGCGUCUGANAGGUAGUUGGCGGAGUAAAAGCCCACCAAGCCUGCGAUCAGUAGCUGGGUCUGAGAGGAUGGAUCAGCCACACUGGGAACUGAGACACGGUCCAGACUCCUACGGGAGCAGCAGUAAGG